AUGGGGGGGCGGCCCGGGUCCUUCCUCGGCCAUAGCCCCCUUGCGCCCGCAUACCGGUCCCUGCUACCGCUGCCAAGUCGUUGCUGCUCUUGCUGCUGAGUGGCGCGGCUAGGCGCCGCGAGGAGCUCUCGGUCCGGAGCGUCGUCCCCGCGCAGAGCCGCCCGUGCGCGGGCUGCCAAGCGUUCGAGUUUGUGCAGCACGCGCUGCAGGACCUGCGGAAGACCGGCCCACACCUGGACGCGCGGACUGAGCCCCUCCUGCUGCAGGCUGACCGCCGGGCCCUGUGUGCGCCUUGGCCGGCUGGGCGCUGA